rnacentral:rRNA from 1 species
CCCUUAGAUGUUCUGGGCCGCACGCGCGCUACACUGAUGAAUUCAACGAGUUUCAGAACGUGUUUGGCUUUCGGGUCGGCACUGCACCUUGGCCGACAGGCCCGGGCAAUCUUUGAACGCUGGUCGUGAUGGGGAUAGACUUUUGCAAUUUUUGGGUCUUCAACGAGGAAUUCCUAGUAAACGCAAGUCAUCAACUUGCAUUGAUUACGUCCCUGCCCUUUGUACACACCGCCCGUCGCGCCUACCGAUUGAAUGGUCCGGUGAAGCCUCCGGAUUGGCGCGCACCUCGGUGCCGCCGAGAAGUUGGCUAAACCUUACCAUUUAGAGGAAGGUGGAGUCGUAACA